GUGCUCACUUCAGCAGUACAUAUACUAAAAUUGAAACAAUACAGAGAAGACUAGGAUGGCCCCUGCACAAGGAUGACAUCCAAAUUAGUGAAGCAUUCCAUAUUUUU